CUAAGCGUAGCUUAGUUAAACAAGUAUCAGCGACUUUUGUUUUGGAAAUUGCUCUUAUAAAAUUAAGAUAUUCCUUGUAUUCGAGCUCAAUAAUUUGUGAACAUUCUUCGAUGUAUCUGUCAUGCCCAGAGGAUCUGGUCCUUGAAAUUGAUACAGCCAUAUACGGUCGUACACGUAAAGACAUCUGCCCUCAUCGCGCGAACAAGCGGACAAACUGUAAAUCGAAAACCUCCACUGAAAUCGUGAAAAAACUGUGCCAAGGGAAGCAGUUGUGCCACCUCAGUGCCAAAAAAAUAAUAUUGGGCGACCCGUGUGGUGAUACUUAUAAAUAUCUGGAGGUUACAUACGAGUGCCUCUGAGUGACACUGCGUGUUGUUACGGAUUUGUAUGUGUUUCAAAGCCCUCUGUAUAUACUGUUAAGUACUUGUGAGUUCUGACGGAAACUUAUGUUUGAAACAAUAAACAGCAUUUUGCGUGUUUGACUAUUUAUCUAGUUUGUUAUAGUUCUUUGUUAUAACUCAAUAGCAUAUACAGUUUUGAAAAAAAGCACUGUAUCCGGUCUAGUAGUUAAUUGAAAACAUAUAGCAAUGGAAACAAAUAUUAAUCAGGCAGAACCUCGACAUUUAAUAUUGAGACGUGAUUCUGUUUAUUCUCUUACUGCUAUUGAAGAAAAGGGCCCUGCAUGAUUGUUGUGUUUUUCUUUUAAUUCCCAUUUACCACUUAUUCAAAUAACAACCUGAAAUGCA